CCUACGGGAGGCAGCAGUAGGGAAUCUUUCACAAUGGGCGAAAGCCUGAUGGAGCAACGCCGCGUGCAGGAUGAAGGCCUUCGGGUUGUAAACUUCUUUUAUUAGCGAGAAAUAUGAUGGUAACUUAUUAAUCAUGAUCGGCUAACUUCGUGCCAGCAGCCGCGGUCAUACGUAGGAUCCGAGCAUUAUCCGGGGUGACUGUGUGUAAAGAGUUGCGUAGGUGGCAUAAUAAGUAGCUAGUGAAAACUGGUGGCUCAACCAUUCGGGCGAUUUGCUAAACUGUUAAGCUCGAGACCGUUAGGGGUAACUGGAAUUUCUAGUGUAGGAGUGAAAUCCGUAGAUAUAAGAAGGAACACCAAUGGCGUAGGCAGGUUGCUGGGACGGAUCUGACACUAAGGCACGAAAGCGUAGGGAGCAAACGGGAUUAGAUACCCUAGUAGUC
rnacentral:rRNA from 1 species